GGAGUCGGCCAGGCAAUCGCCCGAUCGUAAGGUCGGGAGGAAAGUCCGGGCUCCGGCGGACAGGGUGCCAGGUAACGCCUGGGGGGCGCGAGCCCACGGAAAGUGCCACAGAAAAUAUACCGCCACGGGCCUCGGCUCGUGGUAAGGGUGAAAUGGUGCGGUAAGAGCGCACCGCGCGGGUGGCAACACGCCGCGGCACGGUAAACCCCACCCGGAGCAAGACCAAAUAGGGGAGUACUCCGGCGCCUUCGGACGCCGCGAACCGUCGUCCGCGCGGACUCCCGGGUAGGUCGCUAGAGGCCGAUGGUGACGUCGGUCCCAGAUGAAUGAUUGCCCACGACAGAACCCGGCUUACCGGCCGGCUCCUUCU
rnacentral:RNase_P_RNA from 1 species